CCUACGUGGGGCAGCAGUGAGGAAUAUUGGUCAAUGGGCGAGAGUCUGAACCAGCGAAGUCGCGUGAAGGAUGAAGGACCUAUGGUUUGUACACUCCUUUUAUAUGGGAAUAAAGUGAGGAGCGUGUUCCUGUUUGUAUCUCCGCUAUCUAUAAGCCUGGGCUCACGCUGAGCCAGCAGCCGCGGUAAUACGGAGGAUGCGAUGGUUAUCCGGAUUUAUUGGGUUUAAAGGGUGCGUAGGUGGUUAAUUAAGUCAGCGGUGAAUGUUAGUGGCUCAACCAUAGAAUUACCGCUGAAACUGGUUGACUUGAGUAUAUUUGAGGCAGGCGGAAUGCGUGGUGUAGCGGUGAAAUGCGUAGAUAUCACGCAGAACUCCAAUUGCGAAGGCAGCUUACUAGACUAUAACUGACACUGAGGCACGAAAGCGUGGGGAUCAAACAGGAUUAGAUACCCCUGUAGUC
rnacentral:rRNA from 1 species